GAGUUUGAUCCUGGCUCAGGACGAACGCUGGCGGCGUGCCUAACACAUGCAAGUCGAGCGAGGGGAGUUCUUCGGAACAAACCUAGCGGCGGACGGGUGAGUAACACGUGGGUAACCUGCCUCAGUGAGGGGGAUAGCCUUCCGAAAGGAAGAUUAAUACCGCAUAAUAUCUGAUGACCGCAUGGUCAUUUGAUUAAAGGAGUAAUCCGCACUGAGAUGGACCCGCGGCGCAUUAGCUAGUUGGUGAGGUAACGGCUCACCAAGGCCACGAUGCGUAGCCGACCUGAGAGGGUGAUCGGCCACAUUGGAACUGAGAUAC
rnacentral:rRNA from 1 species